GUUUCAGCAGCCGCGGUAAUACGGAGGGUGCAAGCGUUAUCCGGAUUCACUGGGUUUAAAGGGUGCGUAGGUGGGUAUGUAAGUCAGUGGUGAAAUCCCCGAGCUUAACUUGGGAACUGCCGUUGAUACUAUAUAUCUUGAAUGUCGUAGAGGUAAGCGGAAUAUGUCAUGUAGCGGUGAAAUGCUUAGAGAUGACAUAGAACACCAAUUGCGAAGGCAGCUUACUAUGCGAAUAUUGACACUGAGGCACGAAAGCGUGGGUAGCAAACAGGAUUAGAUACCCCAGUAGUCC
rnacentral:rRNA from 1 species